CAAUAGCGUAUAUUAAAGUUGUUGCAGUUAAAAAGCUCGUAGUUGGAUUUCUGGUUGAAGCGACCGGUCGGGCGUUGAUUCGUCUGCACUGGAGUCGGUUUUGGCCAUCCUCUAGGAAAGUGCGUCUGGUAUUAAGUUAUCGGGCGUAUGAUCCUGGUCUUUUACUGUGAAAAAAUUAGAGUGUUUAAAGCAGGCCUUCGCCUUGAAUACAUUAGCAUGGAAUAAUAAGAUAGGACUUUGGUCUAUUUUGUUGGUUUGCAGACCGAAGUAAUGAUUAAUAGGGAUAGUUGGGGGUAUUUAUAUUCCGAUGUCAGAGGUGAAAUUCUUAGAUUUUCGGAAGAUAAACUUAUGCGAAAGCAUUACCAAGGAUGUUUUCAUUA
rnacentral:rRNA from 1 species